UACAGAGGGGGCAAGCGUUGUUCGGAAUUACUGGGCUUAAAGGGUGCGUAGGCGGCGCGGUAAGUCGGGUGUGAAAUCUUGGAGCUUAACUCCGAAACUGCAUUCGAUACUGCCGUGCUUGAGGACUGGAGAGGAGACUGGAAUUUACGGUGUAGCGGUGAAAUGCGUAGAUAUCGUAAGGAAGACCAGUGGCGAAGGCGGGUCUCUGGACAGUUCCUGACGCUGAGGCACGAAGGCCAGGGGAGCAAACGGG
rnacentral:rRNA from 1 species